CCCUUUUCUAUGUGAAUGUUUACUGGAAGUUUUAGUGGUCAAGUUAACACUCAAACACACAUCAAACAGCAGCCAACAACACCACAAUCAGUGGUGCAGUUAACACUCAAACAGACACAUCACAGCAGCCACCAACACCACAAUCAGUGGUUAACCAAACAUUCAAACACCAGCCAACAACAUCAAACAGCAACAACCCCCAA
rnacentral:lncRNA from 1 species